GUAGGAAGAAAGCCAUUGCUUAUUUAAGCGAUAAGACUGAAUGAUUCUCUUUCAUUUGUUCACUUUCAUUUAUUUUUCUAUGACUAAUGUGUUCAUAAGUUAGCUGAGCACUAUCCUCUUUCCAAUUAUCCCCUUUGCUGUAAUAUUAGGAGUCACCCCCUCACAGGUAGUGUAGGACUGAGAUUUGCUCUUCUACUGAGUGGCACUUGUCUUCCCUCGUCUAUAGCUCCUGCCACUUGCAGAGGUUUGACUCAGGGUCCCAUCCACUUACUUCCCAGGUGGGAAAUUCCUUUUAAGGCCAUGACUCAGGGUUUGGUAGGCUCCUUUUGAAAUCUGGCCUUUUCUGUUUUUAUUGUACCUUACAAGCGUUCUGAAAGUUACCACCAUAUAGAAGACACACUUCCCUCUGUAUAGAACUGACAUAAAUUCUCCACCUCUGUUCAUUUGAGUAGAAAUAAGAGGCAAACUAAGUUAGGCAGCUAGGUUGAUUGCCUUGAAACAAUUGAUUUUCUUAGGUUUUUAAAUUGUGGUAUUCAGAUAAAAGAGAACACAUUUCAGUGAAAUAGCCAAUAUGUACAACACCAAAAUUAUACAUCUCUUAAAUGCCUACAAAAUUGGUAAUUAUAUAUUUAAGUGAGUUUUGUAAAUUGCUUGAAAAGAUAAUUUAAAAAAGACUUCUUACUCUUCACUUUGCCAACUCUGGGGAAGACAAGGGAUUCUUAGAAAUAACAUUUUCAAGAAGAAGGCAAAAUUCCAAGGCUCAUUUCUUGAGCUUAUUUUUUGUAGAUUGAGCUGUACUAAUUUUAUAUCUGUGUCCAUCAUUCAGUUACUCAGAUAAUACAAAUUCAUUAAAAAAUCCAUUUUGGUAUGAAUUUUUGUUACUGUAUUUUAAUUUAAGUCAAAAUAUUUUGUAGGUUCAAUUUCACCUGCAAUUAUCCCACUAUUGCACUUUGCUUUGCAUGUAUAAAGUAAGCCAGUGGAAGCUUCAAAUGUAAUAGAAUUUGAUGAUGUUAAUAAAUAUAAAAAUGAAUUUGCAUGAAAAUUGUGAGAGUGAAUAAUAGGAACACCUGGCAUGGGAUAGAGCAUCCUUGCUAGUACUGACGUAAACUCAGAGUCAUCAUUAUCUCUUCUCCCCCCCUUACACAUUGGUUGUCUAGUCCUAUUCAUCAUCAAGUCCAAUUGAUUCUAACACCUUUCUCCCCAAACUUCCUGCUCCUUCCUCUGCACUUAGACACCAUCUCUCACCUCUAAUUCAGUGGCCUCUGAAGAAGUCCAGUAACUUUUAGACUCAGCCUUCUUCUAAGCCCCAUCCCCUACAUUAUCUAUUCUACACUGUCUUUCUGAAAUAUGGAUCUGAUCUUGUCACUCCCCUGGCUAAAUGCUUUAAUGCUUUCAAGCAUGAGACAUGAAAUCUUUACCAUUGCAGAAAGUGGUCCCAGUCGUCUUUGCCAUAUGGAACUUACCCAGGCCCUGUGAUCCAGCCACACUGAAUGUCCCAUUGUUCUAGUACACCCCAUGCUCUUUCAUGUCUCUCUCUGCUUGUGCGUGCUGUUUUAUUUGCCAGGAUCGCCUUUCCCCCUUUUCUACCUUGCCUCACUCCAUCUUAUCCUAAUCCUCCUUUAAGAAUCAGCUAAAAUGUCACCCAGCCUGUUUGGGGAGUUCCUUGCUCUAAUCUUUUUGGCUUCUGGAGCAUUCGCAUGUAUCUUUAUUUUGGGAUGGUUGCUUGCCUGGCAUUCAUUUCCUCCUUUCUUUGACUAACAGCUUUCAGAUGUUAGUGGAUCUGUCUCUUGUGGAUCUGUCCCUCCUCCAUUGUCAGGCUGUUGGGACUAGACUGGCCCCACACUCAACCGAAAUGAUGACUCUAAUUGACUUACACUGAACAGAGUAUCCCAUUUUCCUGGCUACAGUGAUUGACUCAAGGGUGAGUUAAGCCUGUCCCAUCAGAGUGAAUCCACAACUUUACUGUGAUUGUGACACAAAGACAUCGUUAGUCUUCUGGGUUUGGUGGUGUGAUGGUGUGAAACUUAGAUUUCUAUAACUAUCCUUCUACCAUAAAGAGAACCUUCCCGAGGAUAAAAACAAGCACUAUGAGGAGGAAGAGCUGAGAGCAAGAGUCUAGAAACAUUGGAACAUAUCAGAGAAUUUGCAGGACCUGAUGUUGCCUGUUCCUGGAAGGCCCUGGAGUUUGAGGAAUUCAAAAUGAAUUUGCAGCUGUUUUAGAUGAUCACCUGAGGCUGACUGUCUCUUGACCAGAGCUUGUUAGUCCUUGGCGGUGGACUCCUGGCAGCCUUCUCUGCUGGGCUUUCUCCACCCCAGUUCUGGCAACCACUCCCUCCUCUCUGUUGCUACUCACUCUUGGUUACCACAGAGUCCCGUAUAAUUCUUCUACACCUUUGCAAAUAAACCCGUUUGAACUGCCUAAUUUGAGUGUGCCAUCUGUUUUCUGUUGGGAACCCGAGUGAUACAAAGAUAUUUCAGAAAUAAAAAAAAUUAAACAUGAACGAUACAAAUUUAAUUUACUUUUAUUCUGCUAUGUGAAAUAAUUAUUUUUUAAGACUGGUGGAAGGAUAGAAUCCAUGUUAGCUGUGUUCACUGGAAAAUGACUAAAAAGACAAAUCAAGGAAGGGACAUGCUUAGAGAGCUUUCUUAGUUUUAUUCAAGCAGAUCUUCUUACUGCACAGCCUCAGGGGGGCCAUUCACAGGAUAAUUCAGUCUACCUUUGGGAAAGUUUGACAACCAGAACCAUUUCUGCUUAGUAGGAAGAGAAUGAGAUGAAAUCAGGUACUUUCAUUUAGGUGAAAUGAGGUUAAAACUGGUACUAAGAAGAGCCACAAAGAGAAAAAGAAUUCCCCAAACAACUCAGCUUCUUUUGGCUUUGGCUUUUGCUUCUUUAGUGUACGAGUUU